UACGGGGGGAGCAAGCGUUGUUCGGAUUUACUGGGCGUAAAGGGCGCGUAGGCGGCCAGCACAAGUCAGUUGUGAAAUCUCCGAGCUUAACUCGGAAAGGUCAACUGAUACUGUGCGGCUAGAGUGCGGAAGGGGCAACUGGAAUUCUUGGUGUAGCGGUGAAAUGCGUAGAUAUCUGGAGGAACACCGGUGGCGAAGGCGGCAUCCUGGACCGACACUGACACUGAGGAGCGAAAGCCAGGGGAGCAAACGGG
rnacentral:rRNA from 1 species